rnacentral:tRNA from 1 species
CGUGAAGAAGCUCAGUGGAGAGCGCCUGGCUCAGGACCGGGAGAGCGCGGGUUCGAAUCCCGCCUUCACGGCCA